GAAAAAGCAGCUUUUGUCACAGCUUACUUACUUAGAAAGUCUUGGUUGUGAAGCAGUUGUUUUAUUCUUGGAGCCUGGUGAUUCUUGUCUUCAACAGUUUGGAACAGAAAAAGGAAUCAACUUUUUGAAUAAAAAUGAAAAAAUUGGUGUCAAUUUCGUUGAGUAUUUGGAUUCUCCAAAACAGGUUGUCAGAAAGUACCGGGUGUGUGAUGUGAUAAAACUAUUCAACCAGAAUUACAGUAAGUGCAAAUUGCAUUUGAAAUGAUUUUCCAUUUUCUGAGCUUGUGUCAUGGUUGAUAUUUUUUAGUC